rnacentral:misc_RNA from 1 species
GUCAAAUUUGUCGGAGGUGGGUUUGGAACGUUUCACUCCAUGCUGAACUCCUUCAUACACUUAGUGAUGUACACAUACUAUGGAAUGGCAGCUUUAGGACCAAAAUACCAAAAAUAUCUGUGGUGGAAGAAGUACAUGACUUCUAUGCAGAUUACCCAGUUUCUGCUGGUGACCGUUCACUCUAUACAACUGUUGUUCAUGGACUGUGACUAUCCCACGCUCUUUGUGUAUUGGAUUCUGGCUUAUGCUGUCAUAUUUCUGGUUAUGUUUGCUGAUUUUUAUCGUAAUGCAUACAAAAAACCAAAAACUAACGGAGCUGUUACCAAUGGAGUCAAAGCCAAAGCUAAUUAACACAAAACUGAAUUAGGAAUCAUUUACAUAUGUAUAGAACAAAAAGUAUUUCUUAUUUAUACCAUGUUUGUUAUGGCUUUUUAAAAUUUGUUUUUCAUCAUUUUAUAUUAUUGUACCAAAAACUAUGAACCUCCAUAUCUAAAUCCAUGUAUCGAUUAUCUUAAAUGCAUGUUUUUUGAUGGUAUUUAUGUUGCAUAUAAGUGCAUGUUUUGUACAUGUUUACAAUACCAUUGCACAUCUAUACAUUUUCCUGUUUGGUCAAUUACUACAUACUGGUGGAGAAGUAGGCUGUAUUGUGUAUGGUAUUGUGAAAAUUCAUGCAACUUGGUGUGAAUUAUAUUUUGUUUACCGGGUACCCUAAUUCCAGCAUGUUUAGGGAUAAAUCGUCACAUUUCAAAUAGGUUAAAUGGAAUUUGCAAAUAUAUUAAAGAGAGAAAGAUACAAUGCUAUGUAAUCUGAAAGACUAGUGAUUUUAUUUUCCUCUUGUGUGUGUGUGUACAUUUACUAUUGAUACACUUCAUGAAUAUGGACAAGUUGAGUUCACUUUGACCUGUCUUCUCACUAAAGUUGUAAGUGAAAACCCACGCCUUAAGUUGUGGGAAAAUUUUAUGACAAAGUAAUGAAAACAGCAUUCUUUAACUUUGAACAAAGAUAUUGCAUAAUACGUACAGUUUUGUUAGUUGAUGCUUUUACUUCAACCUGUAUUUUUUGAGACAUUAUUGAUUUACAAUGAAACCUUAGCACAGAUAUUCAUCUAGUAUGUGUUGUAAGACCUUGGCAAAAAGGUCUAUUCAGGGUACAUAUUGUUCUGUACAUAUUGAACAUCUGUUAUAUUUACACUGAUUGAUAAUCAUGGCUGUCUUUCUGAAAUGUGCCAUUCUUUAACCAAAUUCAGCACUUGCUUAAUUUGACAUUUGUAACACCAUGUAAGAAAUUAUAGUGAGAUGUCUAUAGUACAUACACUCUUCUAAUAAAUUUUGAUAUUCUUAU